AUGGUUGUCGUCAGCUCGUGUCGUGAGAUGUUGGGUUAAGUCCCGCAACGAGCGCAACCCUACUUGUUAGUUGCCAUCAUUCAGUUGGGCACUCUAGCGAGACUGCCGGUAAUAAACCGGAGGAAGGUGGGAUGACGUCAAAUCAUCAUGCCCCUUAUGACCUGGGCUACACACGUGCUACAAUGGUUGGUACAACGAGUUGCGAGUCGGUGACGGCGAGCUAAUCUCUUAAAGCCAAUCUCAGUUCGGAUUGUAGGCUGCAACUCGCCUACAUGAAGUCGGAAUCGCUAGUAAUCGCGGAUCAGCACGCCGCGGUGAAUACGUUCCCGGGCCUU
rnacentral:rRNA from 1 species